rnacentral:lncRNA from 1 species
CCUGGAGGCCAAGCAGCGUCACAUGGAGCAUUGUAGGACUUGAACACACACCUCAGCUGGUAAUACAGCAGGAAUCACGUAGUCCUCCCUCAUACAUUGAGAGGGCCGGAUCUUUACAAAGAUUUCCUCAGAUUUCAUCUGAGUUAGUCCACAUAACAUGGAAUGACGAAGGCAGGUAGAUAUCAUCUCUGUUUUGAAGACCAAGAAACUGAGAACCAAAAGGAUAAAGUGAAUUGCGAAUCUGAGAUAGAGCCAGAACUAUAAUCGGACUUAAUUCCCAGGACACCCAGAGGUAGGACGCCUUCCAAGGAGAGCACUCAGGUGUCUCCCUUAAGAGCAUCACCUCAGCAAAUCACUUGCACAAGAACCCCAUCACAGGCUCUGUUCUGAGGGAUUCUGACCCAAGAUAGCAUCCUCAAGAAGUUCCUUUUGUAUAGGCCUAUUAUAUAUGACUCUCCCCAUUUUCACCUGAAACUUUUGAUUUCCUCCUUCAUUUUGAAAGGUAGCUUUUCAAGCACUAUUCACAAUAGCCGAGACAUGGAAGCAACCCAAGUGCCCAUCAACUGAUGAUUGGAUAAAGAUAUGGUAUAUAUACACAAUGGAAUAUUACUCAGCCAUAAAAAAGACAAAAUCAUCCCAUUUGCAGCAACAUGGAUGGACCUGGAGGGUAUUAUGCUAAGCGAAAUAAGCCAGACUGAGAAAGACAAACACCAUAUGACUUCACUUAUAUGCAGAAUAUAAACAAGCAUAUGGACAAAGAAAAUAGUUC